rnacentral:rRNA from 1 species
CCUACGGGAGGCAGCAGUGGGGAAUAUUGCACAAUGGGGGAAACCCUGAUGCAGCGACGCCGCGUGAGCGAAGAAGUAUUUCGGUAUGUAAAGCUCUAUCAGCAGGGAAGAAAAUGACGGUACCUGACUAAGAAGCCCCGGCUAAAUACGUGCCAGCAGCCGCGGUAAUACGUAUGGGGCAAGCGUUAUCCGGAUUUACUGGGUGUAAAGGGAGCGCAGGCGGCUUGGCAAGUCUGAUGUGAAAGGUCGGGGCCCAACCCCGGGACUGCAUUGGAAACUGUUGAACUGGAGUACAGGAGAGGUAA